ACUAACGUGUUAUUGGCCUAAUG
rnacentral:siRNA from 1 species